AUGGCCUUGUCUGGGAGCUUAGCUCUAGCGCUCCUCUUCAGCCUCCUCUCCUGCUAUGCAUCCGUCCCUUCCCUAGCUUCCUCCGACGGCUUCAUCCAAUGCCUCUCGGCGGCCAUACCCAGGCAGCUGUUGUACACGCAGAGCUCGCCUUCGUUCACCUCGGUCCUGGUGUCCUCCAUCCGGAACCCCAAGUUCUCGACCCCUGGCACGGUGAGGCUGCUCUGCAUCGUCACGCCGACCAACGCCUCCCACGUCCAGGCCGCCGUCGUCUGCGGCCGUCGGAACGACGUGCGCAUCCGCGUGCGCAGCGGCGGGCACGACUACGAGGGCCUCUCGUACCGGUCCGCGCGCCCCGAGGUGUUCGCCGUGGUCGACCUGGCCAACCUCCGCUCCGUGCGCGUCGACCAGAAGGCGGCCACCGCGUGGGUGGACUCCGGCGCGACGCUCGGGGGGCUGUACUACGCCGUCUCGAAGGCGAGCUCGCAGCUGGCUUUCCCGGCCGGCCUGUGCCCGACGAUCGGCGUGGGCGGCCAUUUCAGCGGCGGCGGGUUCGGCAUGCUGCUGCGCAAGUACGGCGUCGCCAUCGACAACGUCCUGGACGCCACGCUUGUCGACGCCAAUGGGCGGAUCCUGGACAAGCAGGCCAUGGGGGCGGACGUGUUCUGGGCCAUCCGCGGCGGCGGCGGCGAGAGCUUCGGCAUCGUGCUCUCGUGGCAGAAACAGGCAGCCAACUUCGAGUCCAUGUACCUGGGGACGCCCGACACGCUGCUGCCGCUGAUGCGCAGCCGCUUCCCGGAGCUCGGGCUCAACCGGACGCACUGCAAGGAGAUGACGUGGAUCCAGUCCGCCAUCCCCAAGGACGUGUGGGUGAAGAUCUUCGCCUGGCUCGGCAAGCCGGACGCCGGGCUGAUGAUCAUGGACCCUUACGGCGGGAAGAUCGGCAGCCCACCGGAGUCGGCGACGCCGUUCCCGCACCGUGGCGGCGUGCUGUACAACAUCCAGUACAUGAAUUUCUGGUCGGCCGCCACGGACGGAUCGGCGCAGACGAGGUGGCUCAAGGAUUUGUACGCCUUCAUGGGGCCGUACGUGAGCAAGAACCCCAGGGAGGCGUACGCGAACUACAGGGACCUUGACCUGGGCCAGAAUGUGGUUGUGGGGAACGUCACCAGCUACGAGGCCGGUAAGGUUUGGGGCGAGAAGUACUACAAGGGUAACUUCCAGAGGCUGGCGACGGCGAAGAGCAAGGUGGAUCCUGACGACUACUUCAGGAACGAGCAGAGCAUCCCACCGCUACCGGCAACGAAGUGA
rnacentral:rRNA from 1 species